rnacentral:rRNA from 1 species
GAUAAACGCUGGCGGCGUGCUUCAGGCAUGCAAGUCGAACGGGUGCUAGCUUUCGGGCUAGUACUAGUGGCGGACGGGUGAGUAACACGUAAGCAAUCUGCCCGGUAGUGGGGAAUAACUAGCCGAAAGGCUGGCUAAUACCGCAUGUGAUGGUUUGUCUUUGGAUGGAUCAUGAAAGGCGUAAGUCGCUACCGGAGGAGCUUGCGGCCGAUUAGCUAGUUGGUGAGGUAAUGGCCCACCAAGGCAACGAUCGGUAGCUGGUCUGAGAGGACGGUCAGCCACACGGGGACUGAGAUACGGCCCCGGACCU